rnacentral:rRNA from 1 species
UACGAAGGGGGCUAGCGUUGUUCGGAUUUACUGGGCGUAAAGCGCACGUAGGCGGACUUUUAAGUCAGGGGUGAAAUCCCGGGGCUCAACCCCGGAACUGCCUUUGAUACUGGAAGUCUUGAGUAUGGAAGAGGUAAGUGGAAUUGCGAGUGUAGAGGUGAAAUUCGUAGAUAUUCGCAGGAACACCAGUGGCGAAGGCGGCUUACUGGUCCAUUACUGACGCUGAGGUGCGAAAGCGUGGGGAGCAAACAGG